CCAAACUAUAAGAAACAGUGCCCAGACGCUAGCCUGGGAAGAGGUUAGCAACUACUGAGAGGCAGAAUACUGUAGUGAUUAAAAGUCCUACAGUCAUAUGUCCAGGAUUUGUUUCCCAGCUCCUACAGAACUACAUAGGAUUUGGGGUGGCCAUUAAUUCCUUGAGGCCAGUGAGUAUUAUUUGAUAGUUCCAUUUUACAGAAGAGGAAACUCAAAUUGGAAAGGUCAAGCAACAUGUCCAAGGUCGCCCAGCCAACAGUGCUUAAAGAAAAUAACAACUGCAAGACUUUUAGAAAAGUAUUUUACAUGUUGAGAAAUGGAAGUUUAAAUACAAAAUAAAAAACACUUCGGGCUCAUUGUAAUUCUCCAAAAGUGUCAUGGAUAUGUUUUCACCAGUCAGGAUGAUCAUCACCGAAGCCUGGAUUUCAGUGAGCACGGGCUUUACAAAGAAACUGCCACAUGGAUUGGGAGUGAGGGAAGGAAUAAGAUGGUGUUCUCGCCGACAAAGAAAUAAAUGUAUGACACUCACCCCUGAAUUUUCUUAGCACUCUCUCAGUUCUAAUUUUCUUGUCAUCAACACACAUGGCUUAUGUUCCCAAGUAGAUUAUAAAUUCCUAGUCAUAUGUUUGU